UAUUAAAAAUUUCAUCCAUUUUUACUGUUAAGAACUAGUGUGGCCGACAAAAUAACUAGAUACGUGUACCUUAUGCUAACAUAUAAAUGACUAGUUUUUAACAGUAAAAAUGGAUGGAAUUAUUAACA
rfam:Gossypium raimondii Chr10_contig_1442, whole genome shotgun sequence.